rnacentral:lncRNA from 1 species
CCCUCUUUGUCUUCUCUUCCAUUAAUUCUAUAUCAAUCGGCACCUGAGCAAACCUCAAUCCACCAUAAUUGUUAUAGCCAGUUCACAUUCAUCAAGUCCACUACCAUCAUUGUCCAUGCCCUACCAUACCAAUAUGAAUUAAAGAGAGAAAAAAAGAAAAGAAAAAAAUAACCCCUAAUUUUUUUUAGAUCUGCUCUUCUCCCUUCAUUUCUCCCACUUGCUCCUAUCUCCAUCGAAGGCAUUGGUGGCCUUCCAUCCCUUUGUCGGAGCCCUCGUGCUCUUGACCAUG